rnacentral:rRNA from 1 species
AGCAGCCGCGGUAAUUCCAGCUCCAAUAGCGUAUAUUAAAGUUGUUGCAGUUAAAAAGCUCGUAGUUGAAUUUCGAGAUCAAAUUGUUGGUCGUGCCUCGGUACGUACUGGCAUUAUUGAUUUCUCCCUUCUGAAGAACCUUGAUGUCAUUAAUUUGGUGUCUUGGGGAAUCAGGACCGUUACUUUGAAAAAUUAGAGUGUUUAAAGCAGGCUCACGCUUGAAUACAUUAGCAUGGAAUAAUGAAAUAGGACGUUUGAUUCUAUUUUGUUGGUUUCUAGGAUCGACGUAAUGAUUAAUAGGGAUAGUUGGGGCAUUAGUAUUCAAUUGUCAGAGAUGAAAUUCUUGGAUUUAUUGAAGACUAACUACUGCGAAAGCAUUUGCCAAGGAUGUUUUCAUUAAUCAAGAACGAAAGUUAGGGGAUCGAAGACGAUCAGAUACCGUCGUAGUCU